rnacentral:lncRNA from 1 species
AGAAUUGAAUGUUCAGUGCUUCUGGUUUCCUCAUAAACAAAAUGUGCAGGUGUCAGACCUUUAUGGCUUUCACAAAUAUAUUGUGACAAAAAUUCAAGACAAACAUACAUUGUGCAGAAAGUUAAAAAGGCUGGUAAAUUUUCACUUGAAGGCCGUAACAAACUUCUGCAUGACGCCGUGAAAUAACAUGUGUGAGAGAGACUGACCAUAACUUGCACAACUUUGGUAGAGACUCUGAUCAAACUUGCUUUCCAAUAUAUCACUCUCUCCUGACAAUGCGCUCACAUGAAAAAGCCUGAAAAGAAGAAUGACAAAUCAGUAAAAAUGGAUGAAUUACUAUUGUGUUCCUACAUCAUAAGUUCAUAACCAUAGGCCACAUAUUUGUUUGAUGAAGCUCAAAUUUAUCAACAUUCUGUAGCUGAUAAGCUGUACAACAUAUGCAAUCAAAUAAUUAAGACAACAAAUGGAUAACCUGGCUUUGUGCAUCUCCUUUUUCCACUCUUUUUUUUCCUUUGUAUUUUUGUUUCAACAUUGAGGGCGGAAAUUGACUUAUUACAUAUGUAAUAAUGAGAACUCACUUGAUUUGGUGCUUUGUUCUACUCUCUGGUUUCCUGGGUGUCGUAGUUCAUCCACAC